UCGUUCCAGGGCUUUCUUGAGGCGAUUUGUUUCUCGCUCAUACUGUUCUACCUUGGACUGAAGAGCAGCAACUGUAAAUCUGCCAAAUCUGCAAGAAAUGGAAGGACAAUUAAUCUUUCAACUGAAUUUCAUCCCUAAUUUAGAGGCAGCCACAAUCUAUCCAGGUCACCAAAGAAAGGCCUUGUGUCCUGCUGUCACUAUUUAGUUUGAUUCUAGAAGAGUUAAAGGAACUGUGAUCUAUGCUGUUCUAAAAGAAGAGGUCUGAGAAUCUAUGGAUGGAAAUUAUGUCAGAAAAAAUUCCUAACAAUCUGGUUGUCCAAAAAUGGAAUGGGAUGUCAUGAGAGGGAAUUUCCUUGGAGAUCUUAAAGCCAAAGUUAGACAACCCACAUCAUCAUUCUACAUUCUCUUCCUCAUUUCCAGUCUCUUCUGGUGAGGUCAUCUGUCAACCCUUCUACACGUGCCCCUGAUCUUACUCCCUUGGUAUGGAUGUUAUUUUGAGCAUGUGUAGUUAGAAUGUGAAUCUAGGAUAUGUGUUGCUUCAACCAAAUAUUGACUUUAAUUAUGCUAAGCACAAAAGAUAUACACUGGUCUUUUCAGCCACAUCUAUCAGCCCUUGAGUGGUAAUCAGCUUCAACAGUCUCAUCUCUAAUUAUAUGAAAAAUAGAUACUGUGCUUGUGACACUGCCAGAUUUCUUUUAAAGGCAAAAUAUUUUCAGCACUUAUUGAUCACAGAGUACCGGUUUGGCUUGGAUGAUAGAAUAUAGACAUCUGAGUGAAAAUCUGAUUGUGAGAACCUGGGAAAGUAACCAAGCAGACAGCAUGCUCCUACUCUCCACUCCAGCAACUGAUCUGCUUUGAUAGAGAAAGUUUCCUAAGAGUUCUCUAAAUCAAUGAAAUUCCAAGUCUAGACUGAAAAGUAAAGAUAAAGCAACCAAACAAAGUCAUCUGAGUUCCUGGGUUCAGAAUCUAACUUUGAUAUAUAUAUAUAUAAAAACUAGGCCAUGUUAUUAGAACCAAUCUCAGCUUACAUUUUAUUGUAAAAGAAGUCUUUCAUGAUACCUACCAGAAAAACAAUGUUGUAUUUUCCACUUCAAUUUACAAGGUUUAAAAGAUUGACUUUGACAGAAAAUGCGGAGUGUUGCUAAGGUACUCAUUCCUCCAACACUCUUGUACAAAGAAGAUAUAUAUAUAUAGUUUAGACAGAGUUAUCUCAGUGGAAGAACACCAACAAUUGGGGCAGCUGGGAAAAGCCUUUCCAGAAGUUGCAAUUUAAGCUGAGCCUUGAAGACAAGAAAGUUGAAAACUGGAAGAGAGGAGGGGAGAGCAUUCCAGGUAUAAGGGUCAGCCACAUUAAAGACCCUGAGGAGGAGAACAGACUCUCAUGGGCAAAGAGUAGCAAUGAGGCCAUUAGAGUACAUGGAGAGGGAAAGGCAGAAAGAGUUCAGGUUGUGAAGGGCUUUAAAACAUAAAGGAGUUUAUAUUUGAACCUUAAGAUAAUAGGAAGUCACUACAAUUUAUUGAGAAGUGUGAUGACAUGGUCAGACCUAUACUUUAGGAAGUUCAAAUUAAUAGCUGUGGAGAAUAAAGACUGGACAGGGUUGAGAUCUGAGGUGAGGAGACCAACCAUCUGGCUAUUGUAAUAUGCCUGGGGCAGUGAAGGUCUGUACUGAACAGGUGCUGACUGUGUGAAUGAAAAAAGAGGGAAAGUAUACAAGAGAUGUGAAGAAGAAAUUUAAGACCUGGCAACAGACUGGAUAUGUGGGGUGGGAUGACACUGAGAUUGUAAACCUAGGCCACUAGAAAGAUGAUGGUACCCUCAACAAUCAUAGGAAAGUUGAGAAGACAGCAGGGCUUGAAAAGAAAGAGAAGAAGUUGUUUGGGGCAUGCUGAGUUUGAGAUGUAUAUUCAGUUUGAGAUGUCCAUUAGGCAUUUAGUAGUAUGAGACUAGAAGGUGGAAGAGAGGUUACAGCUAUACCAAUAUGAAAACAGAUAAACUAUUGGUUAAUAUGAUUAAAAAAAAAUCAUGAGCAUCAAAAAGGAUGAAUUUACCACUAAGUUGAACUCAAAACAAUCAUUAGGAGUUAUUUUGUCCAAUUAUGUGCCAACAAAUUUAAUAAUUUGAGUGAAAUGGAUGAAUAUUCACAAAAAUACAAAUUACCUGGACUAACAGA